rnacentral:rRNA from 1 species
AGUGAACGCUGGCGGUAGGCCUAACACAUGCAAGUCGAACGGCAGCACAGAGGAGCUUGCUCCUUGGGUGGCGAGUGGCGGACGGGUGAGGAAUACAUCGGAAUCUACUCUGUCGUGAGGGAUAACGUAGGGAAACUUACGCUAAUACCGCAUACGACCUACGGGUGAAAGCAGGGGAUCUUCGGACCUUGCGCGAUUGAAUGAGCCGAUGUCGGAUUAGCUAGUUGGCGGGGUAAAGGCCCACCAAGGCGACGAUCCGUAGCUGGUCUGAGAGGAUGAGCAGCCACACUGGAACUGAGACACGGGCCAGACUCCUACGGGAGGCAGGAGUGGGGAAUAUUGGACAAUGAGCGCAAGCCUGAUCCAGCCAUGCCGCGUGUGUGAAGAAGGUCUUCGGAUUGUAAAGCACUUUAAGUCGGGAGGAAGUGCUGCAGGUUAAUCCCUUGCAGCCUUGACGUUACCGACAGAAUAAGCACCGGCUAACUUCGUGCCAGCCGCCGCGGUAA